CUUUUUCCUCCUUACUCCGUCCAUUACUAAUUUAUCACAUUGCCGUAUACAUUGGGCAUAACCAAACCAUCUUAAAUGAUACCCUCAUUUUAUCCCCAAUGUGUGCUACAUGUCUUGCGGAUGUAGUAAUUUCUUACUUUAUCCAUUAUCAUAAUACCAAACAUCCAUCUUAACGUUUACAUCUCUAUCACACUUAUAUUGUAUAUAUGUUAUAUCCUAGAUCCAACAUUCACUUCCAU
rnacentral:misc_RNA from 1 species